CAAGUCGGACGAGAAAGGGAGCUUCGGCUCCUGAGUACAGUGGCGUACGGGUGCGUAACACGUAAGUCAUCUGCCCCAGACUUUGGGAUAACGGCUCGAAAGGGCCGCUAAGACCAGAUAGCGCCUUGCAGUAUAGACUGUGAGGGGAAAGCGGGCCUCUCCGAGGCUCACGGUCUGGGAUGAGCUUGCGGCCCAUUAGCUUGUUGGUAGGGUAAUGGCCUACCAAGGCAACGAUGGGUAGCUGGUCUGAGAGGAUGAUCAGCCACACUGGCACUGAGACACGGGCCAGACUCCUACGGGAGGCAGCAGUGGGGAAUUUUGCGCAAUGGGCGAAAGCCUGACGCAGUAACGCCGCGUGGAGGAUGAAGGCCUUCGGGUCGUAAACUCCUGUCAGGGGGGAAGAGGACGUGUGUCCAAAUAGGUCUAGCGUUCANACGGUACCCCCAAAGGAAGCCCCGGCUAAUUCCGUGCCAGCAGCCGCGGUAAUACGGAAGGGGCAAGCGUUGUUCGGAAUCAUUGGGCGUAAAGGGCGCGUAGGCGGUUGCAUUUGUCUACUGUGAAAGGCCACGGCUUACCCGUGGAGGUGCGGUAGAAACGGUGUAACUUGAGGCUGGGAGGGGUUGGUGGAAUUCCC
rnacentral:rRNA from 1 species